rnacentral:tRNA from 4 species
GCGCCCGUAGCUCAGUGGAUAGAGCUGCUGACUUCGGAUCAGCGGGUCGGGAGUUCGAAUCUCUCCGGGCGCG